UACGUAGGGGCCUAGCGUUGUCCGGAAUUAUUGGGCGUAAAGAGCUCGUAGGCGGUUCGGCAAGUCGGAUGUGAAAUCUCCACGCUCAACGUGGAGGGGCCAUUCGAAACUGCCGUGACUCGAGUCCGGUAGGGGAGUGUGGAAUUCCCGGUGUAGCGGUGAAAUGCGCAGAUAUCAGGAAGAACACCAAUGGCGAAGGCAGCUCUCUGGGACGGUACUGACGCUGAGACGCGAAAGCGUGGGGAGCGAACAGG
rnacentral:rRNA from 1 species